UGCUCAUUAGUAGUUGCAGAUACAUUGAAAGCAAUUAUGAACUUGCCGUCUGUUGAUGCAACAGAGUUUUGGUCUUGUACUGAGUUAUUUGACAUAGACUGUACUUCUAAUGGAGAGGUCCUAUCUUUGGUUCAUUCAAAAGGUUGACUUUUUAGUAGCCACUCGGAUGGGACUAUCAAGGUGUGGGAUGCUGGAAGGAGGGGUUUGAGACCAGUUCAGGAAAUCGAAGAGGAUGUAGCUUUUGCGGAUUCACCAGAUCCUCACAGGCCCGCAGAGGAUGUAGCUUUUGCUGUUGUUCGAUUUUUCCAAAGAGGAGGAAUUGUGCGUAAUGUUGUGCGAUGGAGCAUACAGAACCUCUUGUAAAUAAUUUAUGUAAAAGUUUGUAAAUAAUUUAUAUAUCUCUCUACUAUU